GCCGGAGUGGCGGAAUGGUAGACGCGCUAGACUCAAAAUCUGGUAUCAGCAAUGGUGUUCGGGUUCAAGUCCCGUCUCCGGUA
rnacentral:tRNA from 1 species